GAUGAACGCUAGCGGGAGGCCUAACACAUGCGAGCCGAGCGGUAUUUGUUCUUCGGAACAGAGAGAGCGGCGCACGGGUGCGGAACACGUGUGCAACCUGCCUUUAUCUGGGGGAUAGCCUUUCGAAAGGAAGAUUAAUACCCCAUACUAUAUUGAGUGGCAUCAUUUGAUAUUGAAAACUCCGGUGGAUAGAGAUGGGCACGCGCAAGAUUAGAUAGUUGGUGAGGUAACGGCUCACCAAGUCAAUGAUCUUUAGGGGGCCUGAGAGGGUGAUCCCCCACACUGGUACUGAGACACGGACCAGACUCCUACGGGAGGCAGCAGUGAGGAAUAUUAGACAAUGGGUUAGCGCCUUAUCCAGCCAUCCCGCGUGAAGGACGACGGCCCUAUGGGUUGUAAACUUCUUUUGUAUAGGGAUAAACCUACUCUCGUGAGAGUAGCUGAAGGUACUAUACGAAUAAGCACCGGCUAACUCCGUG
rnacentral:rRNA from 1 species